rnacentral:snRNA from 1 species
GUGCUCACUUCAGCAGUACAUAUACUAAAAUUGGAAUGAUACAGUGAAGAUUAGCAUGGCCCUGGCACAAGGAUGACACACAAAUUCAUGAAGCAUUCAACAUUUUU